GCACGUAAUUAGCCGGGGCUCCUCCUCAGAACCGACAUUAUCUUCCUUGAGGACAGAGCUUUACGACCCGAAGGCCUUCAUCGCUCACGCGGCGUUGCUGCAUCAGGCUUUCGCCCAUUGUGCAAUAUUCCCCA
rnacentral:rRNA from 1 species